rnacentral:rRNA from 1 species
UACGUAGGGAGCAAGCGUUGUCCGGAAUCAUUGGGCGUAAAGAGCGUGUAGGCGGUCCUGUAAGUCCGCUGUGAAAGUCAAGGGCUCAACCCUUGAAUGCCGGUGGAUACUGCAGGACUAGAGUCCGGAAGAGGCGAGUGGAAUUCCUGGUGUAGCGGUGAAAUGCGCAGAUAUCAGGAGGAACACCGAUGGCGAAGGCAGCUCGCUGGGACGGUACUGACGCUGAGGAGCGAAAGCUAGGGGAGCAAACGGG